rnacentral:RNase_P_RNA from 2 species
GCGCACCGCGCGGCUGGUAACAGUCCGUGGCACGGUAAACUCCACCCGGAGCAAGGCCAAAUAGGGGUUCAUAAGGUACGGCCCGUACUGAACCCGGGUAGGCUGCUUGAGCCAGUGAGCGAUUGCUGGCCUAGAUGAAUGACUGUCCACGACAGAACCCGGCUUAUCGGUCAGUUUCACCU